UAGGGAAUCUUCCGCAAUGGGCGAAAGCCUGACGGAGCAACGCCGCGUGAGUGAUGAAGGUCUUCGGAUCGUAAAACUCUGUUAUUAGGGAAGAACAAAUGUGUAAGUAACUAUGCACGUCUUGACGGUACCUAAUCAGAAAGCCACGGCUAACUACGUGCCAGCAGCCGCGGUAAUACGUAGGUGGCAAGCGUUAUCCGGAAUUAUUGGGCGUAAAGCGCGCGUAGGCGGUUUUUUAAGUCUGAUGUGAAAGCCCACGGCUCAACCGUGGAGGGUCAUUGGAAACUGGAAAACUUGAGUGCAGAAGAGGAAAGUGGAAUUCCAUGUGUAGGGGGGAAAUGCGCAGAGAUAUGGAGUAACACCAGUGGCGAAGGCGACUUUCUGGUCUGUAACUGACGCUGAUGUGCGAAAGCGUGGGGAUCAAACAGG
rnacentral:rRNA from 1 species